UGCCAGACUCCUACGGGAGGCAGCAGUGAGGAAUAUUGGUCAAUGGUCGGGAGACUGAACCGGCCAAGCCGCGUGAGGGAGGAAGGUACAGAGUAUCGUAAACCUCUUUUGUCAGGGAACAAAGGCGGGGACGUGUCCCCGGAUGAGUGUACCUGAAGAAAAAGCAUCGGCUAACUCCGUGCCAGCAGCCGCGGUAAUACGGAGGAUGCGAGCGUUAUCCGGAUUUAUUGGGUUUAAAGGGUGCGUAGGCGGGACUUUAAGUCAGCGGUAAAAAUGCGGAGCUCAACUCCGUCGAGCCGUUGAAACUGCCGUUCUUGAGUGAGCGAGAAGUAUGCGGAAUGCGUGGUGUAGCGGUGAAAUGCAUAGAUAUCACGCAGAACUCCGAUUGCGAAGGCAGCAUACCGGCGGCGAUCUGACGCUGAGGCACGAAAGCGUGGGUAUCGAACAGGAUUAGAUACCCCUGUAA
rnacentral:rRNA from 1 species